rnacentral:misc_RNA from 1 species
AGUCAUCAACCCCUCCCGUUUUGUGCGGGUGGGGUUGGAGCUGGGGGUUUGCCGCUGCGAGGCGGCUCCCCUCAAAUGCGUCGAUCGGGCCUGUGGGUCGAACUCGACUGGGCGUUGUAUCAUCCUCGCUCUACCGAGAAGUUCCCCUCCUGUGCCCGAUCCCGACCUGCCUUUGGAGCGGCGGUCAAGCUAAACUUUGAA